GUAGUACUCCCUCCGUUCGGAAUUACUUGUCACAAAAAUGGAUGUAUCUACAACUAAAAUACAUCUAUAUACAUUCAUUUCUUGGACGAGUAAUUCCGAACGGAGGGAGUAUGUA
rfam:Triticum urartu cultivar G1812 contig316168, whole genome shotgun sequence.